rnacentral:tRNA from 1 species
GGCAGGAUGGAGAAGUAGUAUCUCGCUUGGCUCAUAUCCAAGAGGUCGUAAGUGCAAAUCUUACUCCUGCUCCCA